rnacentral:rRNA from 1 species
AUUGAACGCUGGCGGCAGGCCUAACACAUGCAAGUCGAGCGGGGGUAGCAAUACCCUAGCGGCGAACGGGUGAGGAAUGCUUGGGAAUCUGCCUGGUAGUGGGGGAUAACGUUCCGAAAGGAACGCUAAUACCGCAUACGUCCUACGGGAGAAAGGGGGGGAUCGUCGGACAUCUCGCUAUCAGAUGAGCCCAAGGGGGAUUAGCUAGUUGGUGGGGUAAAGGCCCACCAAGGCGACGAUCCCUAGCUGGUCUGAGAGGAUGAUCAGCCACACUGGAACUGAGACACGGUCAAGACUCCUACGGGAGGCAGCAGUGGGGAAUAUUGGACAAUGGGCGAAAGCCUGAUCCAGCCAUGCCGCGUGUGUGAAGAAGGCCUUCGGGUUGUAAAGCACUUUAAGCGAGGAGGAAGGUUCGUUACUUAAUACGUAACGGAAUUGACGUUACUCGCAGAAUAAGCACCGGCUAACUCUGUGCCAGCCGCCGCCGUAA